UUAAUUGAAACCAAAAAGAGGUAUAUCACUGUUAAUGAUAAAACUGAGAAAUUCUCCAAUUAAA
rnacentral:tRNA from 1 species